AGAUUAACUGGGUCUGGAUCUAAUCGUGCUCUGGAAGGGUUGAAAUAUUCUACAAUGAUACCUGGGAACAGUCUGUGAUGAUGAGUGGGGCUUAACAGCUGCCAUGGUGGUCUGCAGACAGUUGAACUGUGGAACAGCUCUGAAUGCUCUUACUGAUGCCUUUUUUGGUGAAGGGAAUGAUCCAAUCUUGCUUGAUGAUGUUGUCUGCUCAGGAAGUGAAAGGUUUCUAACUGAGUGUGAACACAGAGGAUUUGGGAUACAUGACUGUGAAAACGAUGAGGACGCUGGUGUGAUCUGUUCUAAGAGCCUCAUGAAGCCCAAAAUCGCCAUGAAUCCUGUUGUUGAGAUUACCUUAAAUCAGAGUGUCAACUUCACUUGUUCGGUCUCUAUUAAAGUUGUUGCUGGGUUGUGCAUUCUUCGGAAGACUCCAGGUUAUUACAAAGGCACCAGAUCACAAAAUUCCAACUCUGUAACCUUCAAUAUCCCAAGACUGGACUACACUAUCCCGAAGUGCCGGUUCUUUCUCAUCUCAUCUAGCUCCAACAUCGUCUCAAAAGCCAGCAGUCAACCAUUCUGCCUCCUUUCACUUCCCUGUAGCUGAGUAUUACCACAAGGGCAACUACAGCUGUGUGUAUGAGGUUUUUUAAACGAACAAUGCAGAGUAUAAAUUCGACUCAGACAGCU